UACGAAGGGUGCAAACGUUGCUCGGAAUCACUGGGCGUAAAGCGCACGUAGGCGGAUUGCUAAGUCAGGGGUGAAAUCCUGGAGCUCAACUCCAGAACUGCCUUUGAUACUGGCGAUCUUGAGUCCGGGAGAGGUGAGUGGAACUGCGAGUGUAGAGGUGAAAUUCGUAGAUAUUCGCAAGAACACCAGUGGCGAAGGCGGCUCACUGGCCCGGUACUGACGCUGAGGUGCGAAAGCGUGGGGAGCAAACAGG
rnacentral:rRNA from 1 species